UGGGGAAUAUUGGACAAUGGGCGAAAGCCUGAUCCAGCCAUGCCGCGUGUGUGAAGAAGGUCUUCGGAUUGUAAAGCACUUUAAGUUGGGAGGAAGGGCAUUUACCUAAUACGUAAGUGUUUUGACGUUACCGACAGAAUAAGCACCGGCUAACUCUGUGCCAGCAGCCGCGGUAAUACAGAGGGUGCAAGCGUUAAUCGGAAUUACUGGGCGUAAAGCGCGCGUAGGUGGUUUGUUAAGUUGGAUGUGAAAUCCCCGGGCUCAACCUGGGAACUGCAUUCAAAACUGACAAGCUAGAGUAUGGUAGAGGGUGGUGGAAUUUCCUGUGUAGCGGUGAAAUGCGUAGAUAUAGGAAGGAACACCAGUGGCGAAGGCGACCACCUGGACUGAUACUGACACUGAGGUGCGAAAGCGUGGGGAGCAAAACAGGAUUAGAUACCCUGGUAGUCCACGCCGUAAACGAUGUCAACUAGCCGUUGGGAGCCUUGAGCUCUUAGUGGCGCAGCUAACGCAUUAAGUUGACCGCCUGGGGAGUACGGCCGCAAGGUUAAAACUCAAAUGAAUUGACGGGGUCAUAGCUGUUUCCUG
rnacentral:rRNA from 1 species